rnacentral:misc_RNA from 1 species
UUUCAUUCGAUAUAUUUUCAUGUUUGUUUGGAAUUAAAACCAUAAUACAGAUUUGAUCUUGGAAACCCACAAGGAAGAAAUUUAAACGAGGAAUAGAAAGUAAACAACAGAUGAAGCAAAAAGACGCAAUCUUUACUGCAAUUGAUGAAGGGGCUCAAUAGCCAACGUUCAAACAAUGCCGCAAAAGGUGAAGGGAAAAAAAGGGAAAAGUACAAAAUGAAGCGAUGGAAAUUCCAUCUUGUUCAAUCACAAUUGUGAAAUGACCAUUAUUCUUCACACCUCUGAAACUUCCCGCUUGAACCCUAAGAACUCGCAAAACUCACACUCGAACCACCCAGGUUCCCUCGAGUUAUGUGGUUCCACUUAAUCCUCAACAGUUAGAGGAACUGAUUCAGCCAAUUUGCGGUACUUGAGGGCGUAGAACAUUUCAAGGUAGCGCCGGCUCUCACGACGGUCAAGCUUAGAUACAUGUUUCCAGAAGCCAUAUACACCAGUGAGGGUCAAUAGCCUCUGAGAAUAUAUUUGCCAGGUAUACUUCUCUUGUAUACGUUGCAUGGCUCCCUGGGAGAUAUUGUUCCAGUGAGAUGGGUCAGCCUUGCUCUUCUCAAAGAAGUCAACAAGGAGUUCAGCUGCCUGAUCACCAUGGUAAGGAUCAAUGUUGAAGCCAGAUUUUCCAUGCACAAUAAUCUCAGCAGGGCCACCAUUGCAAGUAGCAAAGGUUGGCAAACCACAGGUCAUGGCUUCAACAACGGUCAGACCAAAAGCCUCGUAUAAAGCAGGCUGCACGAAAACACCCUUUGUGUCACAAAUGUAACGGUAGAGCUCCCCAUUCCUCACCCGGUUCAUCUGGGAAGAAAUCCAUCUGAACUGGCCAUUCAGGUUGUAUUUCUCAAUAAGACCAUGCAUUUUCUUCAUCUCAGCUUGCUCUUCCAAAUCUUUAGACUCCUUUCUUCUAUCACCACCAACAACUACAAGGUUAGCCAAUUCACGAAGCUUGGCAUUCUUUCCAUACCAUUCUACAAGGCCAGUUAAAUUCUUAACUCUGUCCAGCCUUGCCAUGGUGAAUAUAAUUGGCUUGUUGCGAUCUUUUAGCACACAUAAGUGUUCUUCAUUCUCAACAGGGCUGUAGAGAAGCUCCUCGAUUUCUGGAUGGAAAGAGGUCAACCUUAGUUUCUCCUCAGUGUAGGGGAAGUAUAUGCUCAUGUCAGCACCAGGGGAGACAAUAUUGAAUUUGGGAUCAAAAACAUCAAUGCCAUGAACAACUCGGUAGAGGCCUGGGAGGGUGAAAGCUGUGUGGCUCUCAUAUUGACCAACAGUGUCCUUGCUUCCAGCAAUUUCUUGGAAUGUGCUGGUGAUGAUGAAAUCUGUAUGAUUCAUUGCUAUAAGAUCAGCUGUAAACUGGCAUGCAAAAUGGUACUUCUCAUCAAACUUCUUCCAGUAGAUGUCUGAUUCUGGAUAUUUUGUUUUCUCUAGGGCAUGAGCAAUGGUACACUCUGUGACACCUAAUUUGUGUGCUAACAAAGAGGCAACAAUGUUUCCAUCACUGUAAUUUCCAAUGAUCAGAUCAGGCUUUCCUUGCAACUCUUUACCAAUUUCAGUGGCAACAUCCUCAGUGUAAGUCUCUAGAUAGGGCCACACUUCAAAUCGAGAGAUCCAUUUACGAACUAUUCCCUUCUCAGUUCUGAAGGGUACACGAAGGAUAUCUGAAUGCUCUGUUCCGAAUACUUUUUCCAGACGUUGACCACAAGUUGUUCCUACUGCAUCAGGAAGAAGUCUAGUAACAAUAAGAAUGCGAGGGGUGAUAUCAAGUCCUUGCUGCUUUAUACGAUGAAGCAUUUCUGUCUCUAAGGCACGGACUUGAUCCAAGAUAUAAACAACCUGGCCUCCAGUGUCAGGAUACCCCAAAACGUUGUCUUGGGCAAAGUAUCCAUGAGGAGACAUAAUCACAACGUUGAAGACCAUUGGGAUUCUCCCCAAGAAUGUUUCAAGAGUGCAGGGGUCUGGUGCCUCAAGAAGAUCCAAAAGAAGUCGGAUCAUCUCUAGAACACGCUCAGCAGUAUCACCCCAACCUCUCUCCAGGCCAAUUUCCUGGAACUUGUGCUCGAAUUGAGAGUAGGGAGUCUCAGGUGACAGUGCAGUGAGAUACUCCUCUGCCUUCCUCAGAACAUAUUGCAAGGAAUCCAAGCUAUGAAUUCUGUCAUUCAGCAUCAUGCUCUUUCCCUUGUGACAGUGGACUUUCAGAAAUUCAAGCAGAGGAUGCAAACUCUCCUUGUCAUGGAACAAUUUUGCAGAAAGGUGACGAUUAAGGAACUCCACACCAUUACCAAUGUACUUUGAAAGAGUCGGGCGAGGGAAAGAUGCAUUGAAUGGUUCAAAGUCCAACUCUAGCACAAACUUGCCAUUGACAUUGCCAUUGACACUUCCAUUAACAAGUUCCUCCUUGAAGUGCAGAUACUCAGCAACACGCAACUCCUCAACAACGAGGGCAUGGACGUUCACUCUAAUGUACUCCCAAACACCAGGCCUUGGACGCACAGCAAAAGCAACACAGGGAGGCAAAACAAUUGCUUCCUGUGCAGAUCUCAGAACUUCCCCAAAUACGCUAUCCAAUAGUUUCUUUCUGUUCUCUUCUGGGAUUGCUUCAAACUCAGCAAUUAUGUGGUGAUGCUGAAGAAUUCCUUUUCCCUUACCUUCAAUCCUUGAGAGUAAGGCCACGAUUUCAUUGCGGUGAGCAGAAAGUGUCUCAUCCAAACGUUCCCGGAAGCUGUGAACGCGAGUGAUAACACGUUCAGCCAUGGCUCCUGAUCAGCAAAUCUAUAAUAAAAGACUUCAGAUGAAAUAGAAACAAAUAUAAGCAACAGAUAUACAAAACUAACCUGAAAACACCAUUAUAUAAGCAUUCGGAUAAUCACCGAAAGUCAAAACUCAACAAAAUCACAUUGAUUCUAGAAGAGUAAAAAAUUCUACACCUACCACCUCACCAACGACUUUCAUUUUAUAUUUUAUUGGAGUGUAUUGUUGAACUAAGAAUACGGUCUUAAUUAAUGCAGGGCAGAAUUGUUAAAUUGUUAAAGAUCUAUUGAUCACUGCCCAUAUAAUUAAACAAUUUAGUAAGUAUGCCCAACAGAACCAGAACCAGAACCUUGUGCAAUUAGCGGAUAUAAAGAUAAGGUCCAAUACCAAUAAUGGUUAUUUUUAAAAGACCUGUGGAAUACAGCAGAAAUAACAUAAUUUCGUAUUUAAAAAAUGGGUUGAUUAAAGACGGAAGAACUGUUUUUCUAUUGACCAAAAGGAAGGACUUCCGGCAACAAGAAUAAAGCAGAGUAGAGAAAAUUACUCUCCAAUAAACACAUGUGCAGGAAUCAACAAAAGAAGGCAGCCAGAAAAUUCCUCGUGGAAAAGUUAAAUAUUUUGAUCCUCAAAAUGGAUAAGAAGUUUUGACAAGAAGAAAGAAAAUUUGGAACUGAACUUCUCCACCAUUUAAGUUGAAAAAGAAAUUGACCAUUAGAAAAUUAGAAAAGCUUUCCUUGUGAGAACUAUUAAGCUUGUAAACGAGGACUCCAAAAAUAGAUCUGUCUCUCUAUUAAGAACAAUAUAGACACCAAGAAAAAGCAGCAUGACAUUAUAAGUCGUGCUUCUUCAUGAUAUAAACUUUUACACCAGAGAUCAAACUGACUAUUACAUGUUAAUCAAGUCUUGAACACUAACAGUACCAUGAUCAGCAUAGUUUUCUCUAGACCAGCAUGGCCAGGUUAUUAUAUAAGCAGCAAGAGUAAGACAGCAGGGGAAACAACUAAGAGUCUAAAACAAAUCUCUAAAGCCUUGUAGGCUUGUACUCAAGCCAAAUAAAGCAGAUCACUCAGAAACCAAAGACCUUAGGAAAAAAAUAAGAAAAGAGAAAGGAACAUAAAAGAAAGAGAGAAUGGACUAACCAAACGCAAAAGAGGAGAACAGAGAAGGGAAACACAAUGGAGUGGGGUGAUUGGAAGGCUAGAGCGAGUGAAAAUUUAUAGAGAAAAAGAGCAAGAAACAGGGGGAAAAUAAAAAAUGUCAAUCUAACCACCCAGAAUUAAAAAAAAAAUUAAUGAAAAAGGAAACAAAAAGGCCGGGCACACAGGAUUUUUUUUAAUCAUUUUGUCAUUGUCUUCUAAUAUCUUUAAUAAAGAUUAAGAUUGUAAUAAGAGAGAUUUGCGGGGUGAGGGUAUUACGGUAAUGUACAAAGAUUUCGAGUAUAUUCUACUACACAAAAGCAAUUAAAGAAAGUUAAGCAGCAGUAGUUCUGAUAAAAAAGUUAAGCAAUAGUCAUAAUUGCAGACCACCUUAAUCCUCAAGGAAACAAUGCAACCUACCAUAACAAUAGGAGAGAGAAAGAGGGGUCAUCGCAGUUGCCAUAUGUGAAAUGUAUGCACAUAGAACUUGAAAAUCAAGCUAACAAACGAUCAAAGAAAAGAUUUUUCAAAGAAAUGGAAAUGGGAAAUGGCUGAGUCGGUAAUACUGGUGGUGGC